rnacentral:rRNA from 1 species
UACGUAGGGUGCGAGCGUUGUUCGGAAUUACUGGGCGUAAAGGGCGCGCAGGCGGCUUGGCAAGUCGAGUGUGAAAUCCCUUGGCUUAACUAAGGAAUGGCGCUCGAAACUACCUCGCUAGAGGGCGGGAGAGGGAAGUGGAACUCUCGGUGUAGGGGUGAAAUCUGUAGAUAUCGAGAGGAACACCGGUGGCGAAGGCGGCUUCCUGGCCCCGCAUCUGACGCUGAGGCGCGAAAGCGUGGGGGAGCAAACAGGG